rnacentral:rRNA from 1 species
CAGUCGCCACGGUAAUACGAAGGGUGCAAGCGUUAAUCGGAAUUACUGGGCGUAAAGCGUGCGCAGGCGGUUUUGUAAGACAGAGGUGAAAUCCCCGGGCUCAACCUGGGAACUGCCUUUGUGACUGCAAGGCUAGAGUACGGCAGAGGGGGAUGGAAUUCCGCGUGUAGCAGUGAAAUGCGUAGAUAUGCGGAGGAACACCGAUGGCGAAGGCAAUCCCCUGGGCCUGUACUGACGCUCAUGCACGAAAGCGUGGGGAGCAAACAGGAUUAGAUACCCCAGUAGUCCCUGUCUCUUAUAC